AGAGUUUGAUCCUGGCUCGGACGAACGCUGGCGGCGUGCCUAAUACAUGCAAGUCGAGCGGACAGAAGGGAGCUUGCUCCCGGAUGUUAGCGGCGGACGGGUGAGUAACACGUGGGUAACCUGCCUGUAAGACUGGGAUAACUCCGGGAAACCGGAGCUAAUACCGGAUAGUUCCUUGAACCGCAUGGUUCAAGGAUGAAAGACGGUUUCGGCUGUCACUUACAGAUGGACCCGCGGCGCAUUAGCUAGUUGGUGGGGUAAUGGCUCACCAAGGCGACGAUGCGUAGCCGACCUGAGAGGGUGAUCGGCCACACUGGGACUGAGACACGGCCCAGACUCCUACGGGAGGCAGCAGUAGGGAAUCUUCCGCAAUGGACGAAAGUCUGACGGAGCAACGCCGCGUGAGUGAUGAAGGUUUUCGGAUCGUAAAGCUCUGUUGUUAGGGAAGAACAAGUGCGAGAGUAACUGCUCGCACCUUGACGGUACCUAACCAGAAAGCCACGGCUAACUACGUGCCAGCAGCCGCGGUAAUACGUAGGUGGCAAGCGUUGUCCGGAAUUAUUGGGCGUAAAGGGCUCGCAGGCGGUUUCUUAAGUCUGAUGUGAAAGCCCCCGGCUCAACCGGGGAGGGUCAUUGGAAACUGGGAAACUUGAGUGCAGAAGAGGAGAGUGGAAUUCCACGUGUAGCGGUGAAAUGCGUAGAGAUGUGGAGGAACACCAGUGGCGAAGGCGACUCUCUGGUCUGUAACUGACGCUGAGGAGCGAAAGCGUGGGGAGCGAACAGGAUUAGAUACCCUGGUAGUCCACGCCGUAAACGAUGAGUGCUAAGUGUUAGGGGGUUUCCGCCCCUUAGUGCUGCAGCUAACGCAUUAAGCACUCCGCCUGGGGAGUACGGUCGCAAGACUGAAACUCAAAGGAAUUGACGGGGGCCCGCACAAGCGGUGGAGCAUGUGGUUUAAUUCGAAGCAACGCGAAGAACCUUACCAGGUCUUGACAUCCUCUGACAACCCUAGAGAUAGGGCUUUCCCUUCGGGGACAGAGUGACAGGUGGUGCAUGGUUGUCGUCAGCUCGUGUCGUGAGAUGUUGGGUUAAGUCCCGCAACGAGCGCAACCCUUGAUCUUAGUUGCCAGCAUUCAGUUGGGCACUCUAAGGUGACUGCCGGUGACAAACCGGAGGAAGGUGGGGAUGACGUCAAAUCAUCAUGCCCCUUAUGACCUGGGCUACACACGUGCUACAAUGGACAGAACAAAGGGCUGCAAGACCGCAAGGUUUAGCCAAUCCCAUAAAUCUGUUCUCAGUUCGGAUCGCAGUCUGCAACUCGACUGCGUGAAGCUGGAAUCGCUAGUAAUCGCGGAUCAGCAUGCCGCGGUGAAUACGUUCCCGGGCCUUGUACACACCGCCCGUCACACCACGAGAGUUUGCAACACCCGAAGUCGGUGAGGUAACCUUUAUGGAGCCAGCCGCCGAAGGUGGGGCAGAUGAUUGGGGUGAAGUCGUAACAAGGUAGCCGU
rnacentral:rRNA from 1 species